rnacentral:rRNA from 1 species
AGUGGGGAAUAUUGCACAAUGGGCGGAAGCCUGAUGCAGCGACGCCGCGUGAGGGAUGACGGCCUUCGGGUUGUAAACCUCUUUCAGUAGGGAAGAAGCGAGAGUGACGGUACCUGCAGAAGAAGCGCCGGCUAACUACGUGCCAGCAGCCGCGGUAAUACGUAGGGCGCAAGCGUUGUCCGGAAUUAUUGGGCGUAAAGAGCUCGUAGGCGGUUUGUCGCGUCUGCUGUGAAAGCCCGGGGCUCAACCCCGGGUCUGCAGUGGGUACGGGCAGACUAGAGUGCAGUAGGGGAGACUGGAAUUCCUGGUGUAGCGGUGAAAUGCGCAGAUAUCAGGAGGAACACCGAUGGCGAAGGCAGGUCUCUGGGCUGUUACUGACGCUGAGGAGCGAAAGCAUGGGGAGCGAACAGGAUUAG